UGGGGAAUAUUGGACAAUGGGGGCAACCCUGAUCCAGCGAUGCCGCGUGAGUGAAGAAGGCCUUCGGGUCGUAAAGCUCUUUAGGUUGGGAAGAAGUGUACGUGUUGAUAAUGCACGUAUGUUGACGGUACCGACAGAAUAAGCACCGGCAAACUCUGUGCCAGCAGCCGCGGUAAUACAGAGGGUGCAAGCGUUAAUCGGAGUUACUGGGCGUAAAGGGCGCGUAGGCGGUUAUAUGUGUGUGAUGUGAAAGCCCUGGGCUUAACCUAGGAAGUGCAUCGCAAACUAUAUAGCUAGAGUAUAUGAGAGGGUGGCGGAAUUUCCGGUGUAGCGGUGAAAUGCGUAGAGAUCGGAAGGAACGUCAAUGGCGAAGGCAGCCACCUGGCAUAAUACUGACGCUGAGGCGCGAAAGCGUGGGGAGCGAACAGGAUUAGAUACCCUGGUAGUCCACGCUGUAAACGAUGAGGACUAAAUGUUGGUAGGGGAACCUAUCAGUACUGAAGCUAACGCGAUAAGUCUUCCGCCUGGGAAGUACGGCCGCAAGGUUGA
rnacentral:rRNA from 1 species